ensembl:snRNA U6 U6 spliceosomal RNA
GUACUCACUUCUGCAGCACAUAUACUAAAAUUAGAAUGAUACAGAGAAGAUUAGCAUAGUCCCUAUGCAAGAAUGACACACAAAUUCAUGAAGAAUUUCAUAUUUUU